rnacentral:tRNA from 1 species
AAGAUUUUAAGUUAAAAUAAACUAAUUACCUUCAAAGUAUUAAAUAAAAAUAUUUUUUUAAAUCUUA